UACGAAGGGGGCUAGCGUUGCUCGGAAUGACUGGGCGUAAAGGGCGCGUAGGCGGCGCACUUAGUCAGGCGUGAAAGUCCUGGGCUCAACCUGGGGACGGCGCUUGAUACGGGUGUGCUUGAGUGAGGAAGAGGGUCGUGGAAUUCCCAGUGUAGAGGUGAAAUUCGUAGAUAUUGGGAAGAACACCGGUGGCGAAGGCGGCGACCUGGUCCUUUACUGACGCUGAGGCGCGAAAGCGUGGGGAGCAAACAGGAUUAGAUACCCUGGUAGUCCACGCCGUAAACGAUGUGCGCUGGAUGUUGGGAAACUUAGUUUCUCAGUGUCGUAGCUAACGCGAUAAGCGCACCGCCUGGGGAGUACGGCCGCAAGGUUGAA
rnacentral:rRNA from 1 species